rnacentral:tRNA from 1 species
GGAGAGGUGCGUGAGCGGUUGAAACGGCACGCCUGGAGAGCGUGUGUAGUCGAAAGACUACCCAGGGUUCGAAUCCCUGCCUCUCCGCCA